ensembl:lncRNA
CGGGAGUGCCUCUGUCGCACCGCCUCUUCCGGGUCAGACUGUCGGCGCGCAGGCCGCCGCCUCUGGCGCGGGCGUCCGCGCUUCCAGCGAAAGCACGGGGCUGCAGCCUUGGGGCCUGCCUGUUGCCCACUCGUCGACGGCGGGAGUCUUGAGGGCCAGCGGCUCGGCCCCCGGAAGCGCUCCGUCAGGGUGGCGGCUGUCGUCUUAUGGGCGCAAACACUGCCUUCCUGUCUAGGGGUCCUGCCUUCAGGGCUUCGUGGCCUCCGACGGCUCGUCCCCAGGCACACUCGUGGGGGUUCCGACCUCAUCCUAGGAGCUCAGUUGGUAAGGAAUCUGCCUGCAGUGCAGGAGACCUGGGUUCGAUUCCUGGGUUGGGAAGAUCCCCUGGAGAAGGAAGUGGCAACCCACUCCAGUAUCCUUGCCUGGAAAAUCUCAUGGACAGAGGGCUGCAGUCCAUGGGGUCGCAAAGAGUCGGGUACGACUGAGCGACUAACACUAACUUCUGGAAUGAACACAGCCAAGCUACACCAGUGCCGCUGACAGGGAGCACCAGCUGGAAAUAAACAAUUUUGAGCCGAGUCCACCGCGACUUUGGGGCCUUUUGUUACUGCGGUACAAUCUACAAAAGGUCCCUGAUACGCUAACAGCCCAAUAUUGCCUUAGAUUAACUUUUUCUGAAACUUAACAUCUUGCCUUCAAAAGGAUGAUGGGCUUACAGUAGAGACCCUCCUGAGGUUGGACAGCCUUAUACCACAUCAGCAGGAUGAGUUCACCAGGCUGACAGGCAGGAACACAGGCAGGACCUCAGCUUGUGAGAGCCCAGCCUUCCUGGUCGCCCAUGGAAAUGGGGGCAGCCUGGCUGGUCUGCCCCUGCAUGCUGGGGAGCCGUGGAUGCCCUUUAAACAGCAGGAAAUACUAGCAAACGUACAGUGAAGUUUCUCACUUGGCUAAAAGAAGCAGCACUCAGCGACUAAACGCCACCAACAGCCGGAAUGCCAGCUUCAGGGGCUUCAGUCAUCAGGAAAUCUAGUUAUUUCGCAUAACAGAGUCCAGAGUGAGGCCAAGAACUGUCUCUGCUGCUAGUCAUCUCGGACGCUGGGUCAGCAACUCACCUGUUCUCUUAGCUUGUCCCUCAGCCCCAGGGUGGCUGCAGCACCUCCACGCAUCCGGUACUGACCUCACACCCCUGACACAGGAGUAGGAGAGCCUAGGCAUCUGUGUGUCCAGUUCCUCUGUGCCCUGCUGCGCUGACAGUUAAGUCUCAUGGCAGGUUUUUAGCCCAGUCUGCCCUGAACAGUGCGAGUCCACCAGGGAGGCCUGACAGGUGGGCAAAGCGCAUUGCUUUGUGCAGGAG